GACGAACGCUGGCGGCGUGCUUAACACAUGCAAGUCGAACGGAGUGGCGAACGGGUGAGUAACACGUGGGUGACCUGCCUUGCACUUCGGGAUAAGCAUGGGAAACUGGGUCUAAUACCGGAUAGUGCAAGAUGCGCGUGCGGCCUAUCAGCUGGUUGGUGGGGUAAUGGCCUAACAAGGCGGCGACGGGUAGCCGGCCUGCGAGGGUGUACGGCCACAUUGGGAAUGGGAUACGGCCCAUACUGCGUCGGGGGGCAGCAGUGGGGGAUUUUGCACAAUGGGCGGAGGCCUGGUGCAGCGACGCCGCGUGGGGGAUGAAGGCCUUCUGGUUGUAAACUCCUUUCGACAGGGACGCGGUACCUGUAUAAGAAGCACCGGCUAACUACGUGCCAGCAGCCGCGGUAAUAC
rnacentral:rRNA from 1 species